GAUGAACGCUGGCGGCGUGCCUAAUACAUGCAAGUCGAGCGAACAGACGAGGAUCUUGCUCCUCUGAUGUUAGCGGCGGACGGGUGAGUAACACGUGGAUAACCUACCUAUAAGACUGGGAUAACUUCGGGAAACCGGAGCUAAUACCGGAUAACAUGUUGAACCGCAUGGUUCAACAGUGAAAGACAGUCUUGCUGUUACUUAUAGAUGGAUCCGCGCCGCAUUAGCUAGUUGGUAAGGUAACGGCUUACUAAGGCAACGAUGCGUAGCCGACCUGAGAGGGUGAUCGGCCACACUGGAACUGGGACACGGUCCAGACUCCUACGGGAGGCAGCGGUAGGGAAUCUUCCGCAAUGGGCGAAAGCCUGACGGAGCAACGCCGCGUGAGUGAAGAAGGUCUUCGGAUCGUAAAACUCUGUUAUUAGGGAAGAACAAAUGUGUAAGUAACUAUGCACGUCUUGACGGUACCUAAUCAGAAAGCCACGGCUAACUACGUG
rnacentral:rRNA from 1 species